ensembl:lncRNA
UAUGAAUUCCAGAUUUGAUUUCAGACUCUGGGGAUGUAUAUUCCUCUUUUGGAACUUGUAUAUCCGGUCCUGGGAUGAAAAAAAGGUGGGGGGGGGAGGGAAGGGGGAGGGUCCCCAGCAUAACAAGCAUUCCUUGUGCUCCUUCUCUUUCACACGCUGAGCACGCCGGGAGGGACGAGAGCGCACACACACACGCACAGCGUCUGGAUAAACUCAGCCCGAUGCGCUUCGGAACUCAGAAGGACUUCAUUCUAAAACAGUGCUGAAGAACGUGAAGCACGAGGGUUCAGAAAGUUCACAAUGUGUAUCCUGAAAAGACUUACGCGUGGAUUUCAAAUUUUCGCACCAAAAUAAACUUAGCUUUGAAUUCCAUUUUCCACACACUUGCUCAAGUGCCCACCUAUAGUAACUUUCCUUUGAUCAGGUUGAUGUUUCCAAAGCGCUAGUCCCUUGGAUGCUGGCCUGGGGCGACCGUCCCGUGGAUGGCUUGUGCUUCAUUUCAUGAAUGACCAUUGAACAAGCUGGUUCUGAAUGCCUAGCCGGGUCCUGCAAGCUGCUUUUCUGGAAAAAUAAUUCGUGGCUCGCUCUGAAACAUCUGCUCUGAGCGACUUCCCAUGCUCCAAUGUACUCCUUUGGAGAUUACAACUCAGAUUGUACUUGCUGCGGUCUCGCACUUGGAUGACUCACGUUAGCCUCGUUGCUACUCCUCUGUUGCCCGCACUUCCUGUGAGAAGCAGCUACCGUGGCCUGGGAGAACCAUCAGAGAAGAUGGGGACCCCAGCUGCUCAGAGAGCCGACUGGAACUUGACCUCGCAGCUGGCACAUUUAACACAGACCCAAACAAUGCCAAACGUCUCAGCCGUGUGGAUGGUUCUGUUCUGUGCAACCGUACCCCUGAGUUUUCAACCAGCAGUCAAAGACAUCAUGAACCUGCCCACUACAUCAGCUGCAUGUGAGGCUCGGAAGCCGCAUAGCUUCCAGCAUCCCUUUCCGACACCUCCAACAGUAAUUGACACUGUUGGACACCAGCUCAAUCAUGGCUGCUCCGCUCCGAUCCUUAUUGUGCCUAGAAAAGCAGCAGAUGAUGGUUCAAGUGCUUAGGCCUCUGCCACCACAUGGGAGGCCUGAAUGGAGUUCCAGGCGCCUGGCUUCAACCUGGCCCAGUGCUGGCUGUUGCACUCAUCUGGGGAGUGAACCAGUGGAUGGAAGAUCGAACUUUCUCUCACUCUCUCUCUGUCUCCGUCUCUCCCUCCCUCUCUCUUUCUCUGAUGCUCUGGGUUUCAAGUAAAUAAUACAAAUCUUAAAAAAAAAAAAAAAAAAAACAACUUGGUACUCUAAGAAAAUGGUUUUGUCAAUUUCAUAUAAAGAUUGUGCUGUGCAUACACAUGUGACUGUGACAUGUCCUUUAUGUAUCAAAGUCGGCCUCUGGGUUUUGCCUUUGUAUCUGUUUUUCUUAUUUAUUUUCAUUAGCUGCCUCCCCUUUGUGUGUGUGGAAAGGAAGAAAGCAUACUGCAAAUAAAUAGGUCUAGAGGGUGUUUUCUUGUUCUGAG